CAGUCGCCGCGGUAAUACGUAGGGCGCAAGCGUUAUCCGGAAUUAUUGGGCGUAAAGAGCUCGUAGGCGGUUUGUCGCGUCUGCCGUGAAAGUCCGGGGCUCAACCCCGGAUCUGCGGUGGGUACGGGCAGACUAGAGUGAUGUAGGGGAGACUGGAAUUCCUGGUGUAGCGGUGAAAUGCGCAGAUAUCAGGAGGAACACCGAUGGCGAAGGCAGGUCUCUGGGCAUUAACUGACGCUGAGGAGCGAAAGCAUGGGGAGCGAACAGGAUUAGAUACCCCCGUAGUCCCUGUCUCUUAUAA
rnacentral:rRNA from 1 species